rnacentral:rRNA from 1 species
CACGAGCGGCGAACGGGUGAGUAACACGUGGGUGAUCUGCCCUGCACUUCGGGAUAAGCCUGGGAAACUGGGUCUAAUACCGGAUAUGACCUUCGGCUGCAUGGCUGAGGGUGGAAAGGUUUACUGGUGCAGGAUGGGCCCGCGGCCUAUCAGCUUGUUGGUGGGGUAAUGGCCUACCAAGGCGACGACGGGUAGCCGACCUGAGAGGGUGACCGGCCACACUGGGACUGAGACACGGCCCAGACUCCUACGGGAGGCAGCAGUGGGGAAUAUUGCACAAUGGGCGAAAGCCUGAUGCAGCGACGCCGCGUGAGGGAUGACGGCCUUCGGGUUGUAAACCUCUUUCAGCAGGGACGAAGCGAAAGUGACGGUACCUGCAGAAGAAGCACCGGCCAACUACGUGCCAGCAGCCGCGGUAAUACGUAGGGUGCAAGCGUUGUCCGGAAUUACUGGGCGUAAAGAGUUCGUAGGCGGUUUGUCGCGUCGUUUGUGAAAACUCACGGCUCAACCUCGAGCCUGCAGGCGAUACGGGCAGACUUGAGUACUGCAGGGGAGACUGGAAUUCCU